AGAGUUUGAUCAUGGCUCAGGAUGAACGCUAGCUACAGGCUUAACACAUGCAAGUCGAGGGGCAGCGGGGAAGAAGCUUGCUUUUUCCGCCGGCGACCGGCGCACGGGUGCGUAACGCGUAUCGAACCUACCCCACACUCGGGAAUAGCCUUGCGAAAGUAAGAUUAAUGCCCGAUGUUUUCAAUUGCCCGCAUGGGCUGUUGAACAAAGAUUCAUCGGUAUGGGAUGGCGAUGCGUAGCAUUAGGUAGUAGGCGGGGUAACGGCCCACCUAGCCGACGAUGCUUAGGGGUUCUGAGAGGAAGGUCCCCCACAUUGGAACCGAGACACGGUCCAAACUCCUACGGGAGGCAGCAGUGAGGAAUAUUGGUCAAUGGCCGAGAGGCUGAACCAGCCAAGUAGCGUGCAGGAUGACGGCCCUCCGGGUUGUAAACUGCUUUUAGUUGGGAAUAAAAGACGCCACGUGUGGCGUGUAUUGUAUGUACCAUCAGAAAAAGGACCGGCUAAUUCCGUGCCAGCAGCCGCGGUAAUACGGAAGGUCCGGGCGUUAUCCGGAUUUAUUGGGUUUAAAGGGAGCGCAGGCGGACUGGUAAGUCAGCUGUGAAAGUUCGGGGCUCAACCUUGAAAUUGCAGUUGAUACUGUCAGUCUUGAGUGCACGCAGGGGUGCUGGAAUUCAUGGUGUAGCGGUGAAAUGCUUAGAUAUCAUGAAGAACUCCGAUCGCGAAGGCAUGUGCCCGGAGUGCAACUGACGCUGAGGCUCGAAAGUGCGGGUAUCAAACAGGAUUAGAUACCCUGGUAGUCCGCACAGUAAACGAUGAAUACUCGCGGUUUGCGAUACAAUGUAAGCCGCCAAGCGAA
rnacentral:rRNA from 1 species